CUGGUUUAUUGUCGUGUGUCCCAGAUACAACACUUACAUUCUUACUUGCAGCAGCUCAACAGAAUAUGUAAACUUAAUACACUGUAAACUAUGGUAGUAAAGAACAUCAA